GGCCUCGGGCUCUGGCAGCGGAGGUGUGCAACAGGGAAACGAGCCUAAAAUUAACCCGCUUCCCUGUCUCCAGCUGUAACUAUCUAGUAGGGGUGCUAAUGAGUUAGAUUUAUAUCUGGGGUGUCACAACCCAGUUCUGAAGUGUGUGUUAAAACCAAGCCUCCAAUACUCUUCCUAUCUGCAGAGCUCGGUUUCCUAAAAGACUUGCAUUUUUGUAAGAUCAUAGGUUAAAAGAUGUGAUGUUUCCAAGCACGGGCUCCAAAACAAGGAAAUUCCCAUAUUGAGGUGCUUAAAAACAAAGUCUGUCUCCUUGUGAUACUUAGUACUGAAUCCUUGGGACUGUAAAAAACUCAACCAAACAAAACCCACUACCAACCAACCCCCGUGUAGCCAAAAUAGGCCUAUAAAGUUUAAAAUGUAAAAUUGGUUCCUAGCAAGUCCAACUUAACCUCUGUCAGGUUGUCUGUUAAAUUACUGAAUGUGUUAAAGUGGCAGUGGCCAUCUUACCUCCCCUGCUCUCUCCUGCCUUCCCCAUCACUUGUGCAGUUGAAUGAAUUGGACUAAAUGCACUUUUUAUGUUGUCCUGCUGUAGCUAUCAGGUAUCACACAUCAUGUCUUUCUGGGAAUGCUUUCUGUGGUUUGAUACCACUUGCUUUUUCUGUCCCUUCCAUAAGUCUUAACUGUGUGUGAUUUCUGUGGCAAUUUGUGGUCUGUGUUGGGUGCCAGUGUUGUAACAGUGGACUCUUGCCUUCUUUCCUCUUCAGUUUUUAUGUGUAGUAAACCCUUGCUGUCUGUAGUAUUUGCAACUUGGGCAGAUCUGUCAUCAGUAUUGUCCUGCGUUGGAGCAGCAUUUUACAAAUGAGCAAAAUGUCACUGCCAAUUACAAAUAGAGUUAAUUUAUCCUAUGUAUCUGCCUAUGCAGAUGACCUAAUUGAUUGUGUUAUAAUCUGACCAGAGAUACUUUGUAAUGUAUUUUUCAAAAAGAGUCUAUUUCUGCAGAGGGUUUUGCGUGCUUGGAAAUGGAACUGAGCUUCUGUGGUUUUGAUUCAUUCAAGCUCUAUUUAAAAUUUUAAAGAUCAUAUUUUUCUGACUGUAUGGAGCACUAAAUGUCGAUUUCCUUUUUGCCUCUUAAACCUUUGGAAAAUGCUAAUGGGAAACUAGGAAAAACCAAAAUAUCUGUGUGUAUGAGUAGUCAUAGUGCUGACGAUGAGCAGUAAAUUAUUUAAUUAUGGGAACCCGGAGGAAAACAUUGUAGUGGUGCAGUGUAUAAAGCCUACGCUUAAGGUGUAUUGAAGAGGGAGGAAUACGGGCAGUUACCUGCAAGCCAGAAAAAUACUGCAAAGCUGUGAAGUAUUUCAUUAAUGCGUAUGAUUUUUUUUGUUGGAGGGGAAAUUUUAAUUUUAGAAAGUGGUUUCAGUCUUCUUCAUCUGUGAGCUAUUUUAUCCUUAAUAAAUCAGACUAUAAAUUAGUACUGAAUGACUUUUCUGUCAUUAAACUUGUUUGAGCUUGCCUCCUGGUGAACUGCGUCACAGAGCUUGAUUUGGUUUGAUGAGUGCAGUGUAUAAAAUCAUAAACGGUCCGUCGAGAAAUGCACCCUGUAAUCUGUAUGCACUGCAAAGAAUUCGUUCCCCCUCCUCCAGGUCAAGCCAGCUGCUGCUGCAGAAGCUGACAUCCUUUAGCAAAUCCUGAAUGAAUGAAUGAAAACAACGUGAUCGCCCUAAUAAUGACCACAAUUGCACACGUCAACAGCUUUAUUUUACUGAAAUACUGGCACCAUUUUCUAGCGGGCGAGAGUAAUAAGAUACUCUAUUUCUUCAGUCUUGCAAAUGAAAAAAGGUUACCAAACCUCCCCUCCGUCUGCCCCUCCACCCCCCCCAAAAACUAGAGGUGUUUUUACACAAUUUGGAAUAUAGUUCCAUGCCGUGGGACAGUAUUUUGUCUUUGUUUCUCUGCUUGUUCUCAGCAUUUUAGUAAAGGAUGUGUGGACAUUAAAAACAUGUUUAUAGUCUGUAUGGUGAUAAUAGUAUAUAGAAAAUUGAUUGCUGAGCUGGAGAACUACUGCAGUAAUAAUGGAGGACUUGAAAAAAAAAUUUAAAUGUUCCGUUUUCAGACAUGGACCAUUUUGCUGUGGCUUGUUAAACAAUGCUACUCUAGCUAUUUAUAGUUGUUAUCAGUAUGCAAGUCUUGGGGAAGUGGCUUGAUUAAGUUUUUUUGUCAGUUUUUCAAAGCCAUUUCCCACUGCUGUAAAAUGUGAGCUUAGGCUCUAGGUUUAAUCCUGUUGUUUUUCUCACCAGUGCAGGAGAUGUGUUUGUCUUUGGCUCUGCAGUCUGACUUGGAUUGUUUCACAGAUACGCUUGUUCUGGAAACUGCUUAUGAUUCUGAUGGAUAGAUGUUAUUCUCUUAAGACACCUGUCCCUUCCCCACCUCCUUUCAGCCUUUUUCAGUAUAGAUGCCUUCAGCUGGCUAUCCUGCUAAGCCAUUUUGUGUGGAUAUUUUAGUGAUUUGCUAGAGGUUCCUUUAUGAAGGAGAUUUCUGUGCAAACACUCCAGCUUUGAGCCUCUACAGGUCAGAGCAACUACCACUGCAGGCACUGACAUCACUACUACAUGAAUGAAAGCAGCAUGGUCUGUUUUUUAUCCCAUCAUCAUGUUUUCUACUCCUUCUUUCUAGUAUACUGUCAAGGUUUUUGUUCUGUAGCAACACCCUGUGUUUUUAGGACUGAAACUUUCAAUAAUGUGAUAUUUUCUUUUAAGCAAAUUUGAGGACUUUUAGUUGUUAGGAAGCCAUCAAUGCCAGUAGCAGUAUUUGGUUAGUACUGGUUAGUUGCUGAAUGGGUGAGAAAUCAUGAAUGUUACAUAUAUAUUUUUAAGGUGCUAAAAAAAGAGGGAAAAAGAGGGGAAAACCUGAUAUCAUAGGAUAAAUCUGCUAUGUGCAAGUCAACGCCUUUCCUCUUUCUUGAAAUAUGUUUAUUCCUUACUAGUAGAUAUUUUUUAUAGUGUGUGUUCAUGUUUUGGAGAGCUGGCAGUGGAAAAAGUGUCUGGUUGAAUGUAACAACACGUGGUUUUCUUAGAGGGAAUAUAUCUGUUAGAUCUCUGAGUGCAUAAAAGUAAUGUCAACAGAAUCUGAAGCUGUGUGGUUUAUGACAAAGGAUAUUCUGGUAAUAAUCCAAAAAAGCCAAACCCUUGGACAUGUCAAAUAAAACUUGCUAUUUGCCUGUGGACACAUCUUUUAAAGAAGAAAGCAACUUGUUUUCCUCCUUGCCUUACCUGGAUAAAAUCAGUGGUGCCUGCUGUUAUUUAAAGUAGCUUGUAUAAAUAUGAGAGUGGGUUUCCUGUUUAGUUUGUUUUUUUUCUAGUUACAUUAAUAUUUUGUAUACAAGGAGGGUGUAAAUUACUUCUAUAAUUCAAACUCAACACUGCUCUUACCAAAUGCUUUGAUUUUAGUUUUAACUCUAGUGGUACUGUUAUACUAAUGCCUCAUAUUUUUCUAACUUUCACUUACACAUUUUAUAGAACAAACUCUUUGCCAUUCCAUUUCCAAAUGUUAAAGACAAACAUUAGUUUUAAGGACACAUGAAAAAUACUGUGAUCAGUUUGGCUGUUAAAGGUUCCCAGUGUCUUUUACUUCCCAAAAUAACUCCUGAAGAUUUGCCAACAUGAGUGAGAGAAAGGAAUUACAAAAGAUGCAAAACAACUGUAUAACCCAGUCCAGUGUAAGAAGUAUAUAUAUAUCUGGUUUUAGGCUAGUGGAAUUAGGAGUGGAGUAAAACAAACAAUAUUGUUGAUCUCUAGACUUGUAAAGGAUAUCUAUAUUAAAAAAACCACCCAAAAUUUGUACUUCAAAAGGUAGAACUGUUUUAAUAUCCUGGAUUCAAACCAUCCAAUAUUUUGGCAUCAUAAUCGUUUAUAGCAGAGAUCAAGAAGAUCUUGCCUUUCUUUCUAGCAAAUGUAGGUAAGGAAGUAAUUUUUGUGACACUUCCUAUUUCCUGAUCCCUGAAUAAUGCAGUAUUCCCAUAAUUGUAUGGCCAAACCAGUUUUGCUCCAGCUUUGUCCCUCUUGCUUCCCAAAAUAGCUUUCAUUGGAAUAUAAUAUGAUGAUAUAAAAGACCCUGGCUAAAUUUGAUCCAGUUGUCCUGAACUCAAAGCCUUUUUAGUUACAUGUUUUAACAUGACUGUAAAUGAGAAUGGUGUCUUGAAUGUCUUUAAUAAAUAAUGCUUUAUAAAACAAAAUAAUUGAGCUUCUUUCAGGUGUAAAACUGAAGAAAGAAUAGGAUGAAAAAUAGGAAGGUAUUUUCUCUAUUGAACUUGAAUAGUGCUGUAGCAAAGCAUUAGCUUUAAAGACAGAACCUCCCUGUUUAAUGGAAAAGAAAAAAACUAACUUUAAAAGUAUACAAUUGUGCCUAUUUUAAAUCACUACUUGACCUUUAAUUCUUAUUCUUUGGACAUAAGCAAGUGUUUGUGUGUUAUAUAUGGCCAAACUGAAGUUACUUGCCAACAUCUAUGCAUAGUAAAACAGUAGUAAAGUACUGAAAUUUGGUUUCUGAAAUUCAUGGUUCCUGUGUUUUGUUGUUUUCUUUCCCAUGGUGGUGGAGUGAAUGGAGGUUCUUAAAAUGUAUUUUAAAAUGCAGGGAGGGUAGAUCACUGGAGUGUAUCUUAGAAUCUUACAAAAAAGGCAGUGUUCACCAAGUCUAGACUGCUAUAAUUCAAAAUUUCACAGUGGAAAGCCAGUUAUUUUUAAAAUGGGUUUUGUGCUACUGCUCUAUAUCAUUAUGAAAAAAAAAUAAUAAAAAUAACUGAUGCAGUAAUUCUGAAGUUUCGGUUAAGCCUAGACUUGAAAGCAGUAGUUGUAACAAUGCAAAAUGUAUUGGAAAUAGAGUAUAUGCUCCUCAGUGUUUCAGUAUAAGUGAAUAUCUGCAAUCCAUUUUAAAUGGGACUUUACCAGUUGAUUAAUUAUCUUCCUCUGAAGAAGAUAAUAUUUUUUUUAACCUGCAGUGAAAAAUGAAAGUUCCUGUUUAAAUCAGUUGACAGUUACUUCAGUAGAGAACAGUGUUGCCAGCACUUGACAAAAUAGGUAGUUCUUCAUGGAUUUCACAUAUAUUCUUGGGAAGUUGUUAAAAUAGUAGAGUUUAAACAUCAACUAGCAUUUUUUCAUAAGUAUCUUUUAUUGAUGAAAAAAAUGACUCUGUCUUAAACAUUCAUAACUGGAAAAUUGUGCUCAACUAUUUAACUGUCAAUGAUCAUCAUCUUGCUUUAGUGUUAGUAUUUAAAUGGAUGCUUAUAUUAUAGUCUUUGAAUGCUGCCUCCUUUUGUAGUGCUUAAACAAUGGCUUAAGGCAUUUUCAGGCAAGUAAAAUAUUAUUUACAUCUCAUCAUUAGAAUACAUCACAGCAACUUGUCAGCCUGAGAGUAUGACCUUUUCCUUUGUGUCUCCAUUUUUAAGGUUUGAGUAAUUGCAAAAUGAAGAGCAUUGGAGAUCAGGGUGAAGGAAAAUGGGUGUUUGUACUUAAUAAUCAAAUUCUGAAUAACAAUUUUGAAUGUAUAUUCACUUCCCCAAAAUUAGAUAGUCUUUUAGUUAUGCUUUAAUUUUUUCCCAUCUGAUGUGACUCUGAAGCUCAUCCCUACCAUACAACGAGUUUUGAAUUGGAGAUUAAAUGCUGGGGUGCAGAAAGGGAUCAGAGACUUCUGCAGUAUGGAUAGCACACAGAGGAUCAUGACCCAGUGUGUGAUAGCAAUCCUUUGGAAUGGAGAGUCGGGCUUUCCUGUUCUUACCCUUCUGAAGCUGAGCUGGUGUCCAUGGCUGAAACUGAAAAACAUGCUCUCAGGAACUCUUCCCUGCUCUCCCAGCUGUGUGAGUCUGGGCUUAGGACCAGAGCUGUUCUGUUACAUGGCCCCCUUGGAUUGUCUGGUGAUAACUUUGCUCCCACAAUGUCUCCUGUUAGGACCAAGGAAGGCAUGUAGCUCCUGCAAGUCUGUUUCAGAAGGAAGCAUGGGCAGGCCGUGUGUGGCUGUGUUGAGGAGUGCCCUCAGCCUGCUGUCUCAGGCCCUGUAAUACCAUCUCUGCCCUGGGUGUGUUCAUUUCACUUCUCCUCCUCUGGUAUAUGCACUUCCUAGCUGCUGUUGCUGAUUCCUGCCAAACUAUUCACCCUGUUAGAUUAGUUUUCUCUGACAGGAAGAAAAAGCACCCAGAAGGUGUGAGUGUCUGCGCUCAAGCUAUAACAGUUUUCUGCACAAAAAAAUUGUAAAUGGGGUAUUAACCUAAAUACUUUGUUUUAGGUCAGUGAAGAUGGUUGUGAUGGGAGGUUUUCAUUUUUUGUAGUAGUAGAUCUCUUGAUUAGCUUUCCAUGUUAGAUAUUGUUGCUUUGCAGAUUGUAUAUACUUCCCAGGAGGUCAUGAAAUGUUAUGAGCUUGAGUUUUGAAACCUUAAUGCAAAGUACUGUAUGGUUAGGCUUCCUUACCUAGUGUUGCAUAUGCCCCAGUGAUAACUGAUGGUACUGAUAUUGGAGUUUAUAGGACUUGACCUUCACUGUUGCUAGUGUUAAACUGAGGAGUAGCUGUUUGCAAUGGAUAUUGUUCUCACAUGAGUGAACGACAGCAUUGGUUCUUACAUGCUGUUUAUUUUGCACAACUUGAAACUAGCUUUACCCAAACUAUGCCUCAUUUCCUCUUUAGGAAGAAAGUGUCUUGUAUUUUGCUCACAAGAGCAAUAGGUACUAGUUCUGUCAUAGUUUUUGAAUAAUCUAAUAUCCUCUCUAGAGUAUUUUCCUCUCAAUCUGUUGAGACAUAGCCUAAACAACAAUAGUAAUUUGUGUCUCAUUCCUUGAACAAUGCUAGUCACCUGUUUGAAGAAGGCUACCUUCAGCCUCCUUUCUUACACCCUUAGCACCAGGCAUCACGCAGUAAAUGUAAAUACACUUCUGAACUUCAGGAAUUAAUACUUAUUUCUGACUGUCAGGUCAUUGCAAGAUGACUGACAUUCAUACUUGAAUUUAAAAUGAAUUUCUGUAGCUAAAUUAAUUUUAAUGUUAUAUAAUAAGUAUAAAUCUGUCUUUUAGAAAUGUUUUGUGUAACGGCAGUUACUCAGUUGUGAACUGAUUAAAUGUAUGGCAAUGUGAGUAUUGUUUUAUUGUGUGCCUUUUAAUCUCAGGUGUUUUGAUGUACAAUGCCUAUUCUGGAGUUCUCAAAGAAAUAAUUAGUAAAGGUUGGCUGGCUGGAUUACCUGGGUUUCUGUUACAUUUUUUAAAAGUCUUCACAGUUAGAAAAAAAAACCCCAAACAUUUUAAUAUAGGUGCUUAGGCUGCAGUACAAAAAUAAAAAUAUCAAAACUCUAAUAAUUGUUUGACAUUUGUCAGCAUUUGGAGACCAAGCUGUUGUUUGGAAAUAAUGUGUUCUUACCAAAAAACAAGUUUUUGUUAUUCAAUAUUCAAUUACUAGCUAAUUCAAUUAAUUGUAGUCUGCAGAAAUUACCCUGUAAAUACAAACCCCACUUCAAAUUAUGCCAUGAAGUCAGAAGUUAGCUAUUAGAGAGCAGAUGACCUAAGUGGAGAUAUACAAUCCCAGGUUUGUGAACAUGUACAUCUCGGGGAUAGCAGUGCAGUUGCUUUCCUUAGAUGAAAUGCUGUGUCCAUGCUGGAUCAGAAAUGUUGCUGGAUAAACCUUGGAAAUUUUGUGCUGUGUUCCCAUAACUCAGGCUACAGAGAGACAGCAUAGAGGAGCCAGCUAUAGAAGAGCAGUGAAUUUCUGUAGGUAUUUAACAUGAUCCCAGUACCACUCUUUCUGCCUGCCAUGGCAGAGCUCCCUAGCCUAGUAGGACUAGAAGAUGGUGGUGGCUAUAGUAGUUACCUCGGUGGUGCUGUCUGUGCUCUGGAAAGGUUGGGUGAGUCCAGUGCUCACAUGAAGUCCAGUUCAGUGCUGAGUGUCAGCUAGUCAGUCUUUCUGGAGCCCCUGGAAAGUACAUUAUGAAAACCAAGUUACUUUGCAGCUUUGACUCUGUGAGCUAGGUGUUCCACCUCCAUAUUCAGCAUAUAUUAUUCUAAAUCUUUGUUAUAUGUGAUGUCUUAACUUCCUGCUUUUCAAAGCAAUGAAGAGUUGAGCUGCUCGCUGAAAGUUAAACCCAGAUUUACGCUGUGUCCCAGAACAGACUUUGACCAGUGUGACUAAAAAUACCAGCUAACUGCUGAAGAAUGCAGAAUGAGACUUAGGUUUACACAGUAGCUGGGAAGCUGCCAGGUUAAAGGAGAAGCUGUCUUCACAGAAGUAAAUUUCUGUUCAAGGUCUUAAAAUCUUCAUUCUUAACUGAUAGCUGUGUUUGCUUAAUUGUGGCAAUUGAUAGUGGAAUACCACACUUCCUUUCUCUCAUACUCUGAUUCCUCUGCUAUUUCAACUUCAGUGGCUCCUUUGUUAUACCUGAUAACCUGCCUGGAAUAAUUAUCUUUGCAAUGUUUUCUUCAACCACAAAGAAACCAUAAAAUACAUUUGAAAUACUUUCUGUUCUUUUCAAAGGGAGCAAGGAAAAGGCCUAAUCGGGAAGAGAAAAAUUUCUCAUGGGCAAAAAUGUGAUUAACUCAUGCAUGUUUAAAAGUAAUAUGUAUUUGAGAAAUGUCCAUACAAGGAACUGACUGCAGGCACAUAGUGUAGGAUAUUGUCCAUGUGGAAGAUCCAAAUAGACUUUGGUGUUGCUGUAGAAAGAGAGGCUCAUUCUUUGAAAACAAAUUGUUUAACAAAGUGUGCGUAUAUACAUUAUUUAAAAUAUUUUGUAAAUCUGUUGUAUAGAUCUACCUUAAUUUAUUCCAAAGAAGGAACUAGGCUAUUCAGAUGAUUGGAGGCACAUGAUUUUUCUUUAGUGGUGUGUAUAGCCUUUAAUAUAAAGUUGAAGGAUACAGGGAGAUCUUUUGACUGCAAGAUUAUAGUAGAAACUUAGGCCACAUUGAAGAUAGGAGUUACCACCUGUAACAACUGAAAAUUUCGGAGAAGCAGAAGAAAUGGGUGUGCUGACACUGUACAUUAAAGAAAUGUUAGAUCUAGCCUUUGUUUAGUCAUGCAAAUUUGCAUGCAUACACAGCAAAAGGAGAAAAUCCUACAUAGAGGUUUGUUUAAAACUCAUGCAUCUGGAGUAAAGUUUUGGAUUUCAGAAGGAAGUAGUUUGAAAAUUUGUCUGAAUGGGGUUGCUCUGCCUUGAAUAAUAGAGAAUCUGUUUUAAUGAAAAAUGUUAAUACUAUUGAAGUCUUUCAGACAUCAGAAAAGUUCAAGGAUGUGAUCUGAUUGCAUGGACACUUACCUCGAAAAGGCUGCUAGGAAUAAGCAGAGUGCCUGCAAGAAACAGCAGGAAGAACUGAGGAAAGAAUGUCAUGUUACCAAUCAAAAGGUCUGGUCUUACAUGAAGAGCACUUGGCCACACAGGGGCUGCUGAGGCAUUAAAUGGUGUACUGCACACUCUUUUCAUGCUCCACAGUUCAAGAAAGGUAAAGUCAAACUGGAGCUGACUCAGAGAAGGACUCACAGGUUAGGAGUUUAACUGUGUGAUUCUAAAAAAAUCUGAAUAAAAAUACACUUUGUCAGAAUCCAGGUGAGCAAGGAAGGGAAUGAGCGGGUGGAUUGGAUUGACAAUGUAAAUAUUUAUAUAUUAAACUGUCAGAAGGCCUGAAACCAUCAGGAAAAGAAAAGUUCCUGGGUUAUUUUUCCAGUAGGAAUUGUGAUGACAAAUAGCUGCUGUAGGACUGACUGUACUCUGUUUCAAAGUGCUUAUGUGUUUUGUCAGUGAUAGCUGCAAAGUGGGCUCCAGAUUUAGGGAGUUGUUUCUAGUCUUUGUUUCUAUGUCUUAACUGAUAAUGAAAAGAUAAUUUAUUUACUCAUCAAAGUUGAGUACUCUCAUUUAGGCAAUCAAUUUUAAUCUGGUUUUACAUUUAUAUUUUCAAUUUUUUUCCAGAAAAAUAUAUUAUUGUUGUUUAGUAUCAUUUGCUCUAGCUAGGAGAAUGCUUUCUGUUUCUAAUAAUUGGUGAUCAUUAUGAUGGCAUUGUAUAGCCUCUGUGCAUUGAUUACAGUUCUUUGUGAAUUUUGAUUAUGGAAAUGUUGAGUUGUGCCUUCUGAUUAGUUUUAUUCAUUAUUAUGUCCAGCUGCAUUUUGAUGGAAAGAAGAAUUAGAUUAAAAGUUUACAAAACCCUCACUUUCAACAUCUUGUUAAAUUUUAAGUAUUGUCUUUAUAACAGCAGCAACAAAAAAUCCCUUCAGAGUCAGCAAGUUUAUUUGAAAAACGUGUUCUUCAGUUACUGAAUCAACUGCAUGUGUUUAUAUUGACCCCAAGCACCCCAAGCUUUAGUUGCUGUUCUUGGUUCCCAGUUUGGUUCUCAAUAUUGGAUACAUAGAAUAGAUGAUUCGGCUGAUCUAAAAUAAUGAACUAAAAGGAAGGAAAUUCUCUGUAUCUGCUGAAGUGUCCAACAGUUAAUGGAUGGUUGUUUCAGUGUGCUUUUUCCCAAGUACUUAGCUGCUGAGCUCCUAUCAAAUUUGUCUUAACUUUACAGUACAAACACUUAAUUGAAUGAUACUAAGUUUAGGUAUUUGUGUAGUGUUUAAAUAUGAAGUAAUAAUCUUACAAAGAAAAAUGUAUUCUAGAAAUGUGAAAUACAUAAAAGUAUGAAGGUUUGGAAUUACUGCUUUUUACCUACACGUCAUCCUGUUAGAAGGGUGCAAGUGUGUAGGCUACAUCUGUUGAACAAAGCAGGCUUUUGUGACAUGAAAUCCUACAGGUCCUGUACAUGCCAGCAGUAAUCCUUGUUAGAAGAAUGGUUUAGCUUUAGCGGGCUGAAACUUUCUGCCAUAUGGUUUGUUUACCUUUCUUAUGGAGAUUAGAGCGUUCUUUCUGUGUUUGAUCUCUAAGGAUAAUGUUGAUUUUAAACAGGGGAGUUUUGCUGUGGACGAAAUCUGGCUUCUGAAACAUAUUCAUAGUCACAUUUUACCUGUACCUCUGGGUGGGGAGAAUUAGGGACAUGAGGCAGAGACCUUGCUUCAACAUACAUACAAAGGCAACCAGGACUUUCAGUCAACUGUAGGUCCAGUGAAAUAUGCCUUACAAAUUCAUCCAUGUGUUCUACUUCCUCUGGUGUCCUUACUAGCCCUACCACUGAGCCAUCCUGUGUGGCUAGGUGUCUUGAGAGUCUUGCAUGGAAUCUCUGUUGUGGAAGGAAAUGCCUUAACCUAUGGGUUGGAUUCAGUGACUAACCAGAAGAUCUCUUCCCUUUUUAGAUGACUUAGUGAUACCUAUAAAAGAUAACUCAAUAUAGUUGAUUUCUAAAUCCCAUUCUGUGGGUCAGUGUGUGUGUACAGUUUUCCUUUGAAGGAACAAGCUGGUUUUGUCUUAUGUUGUUUUCCCACUAUAGGUGAUGUCCUGUCUUGAUAGACUUCUGUUUCUUGCAGGUCAGUCUGAAUUCUCAUAAGCCUUGUCAGGUACAAAACCAAAUCAGUCCUGACUACCAGGCUGUAAAAUGAUCUGUGUGGAAGACUGGCUCCCCUCUUGUUUUUUUUGUUUUUUUUCCCCCCUCCCUGAAGAAUGCUGGAUGUAGAAAGCAUGUGAUUCAUGGACCUGGAUCUCUGAAAAGAUCUUCACUCUUAAGAAGCAGCCUGCCUUCUGAUUGUUCGGUUUUGGUUGUUGGAGCCUUGGUAGGAUUAUGGUGCUGCUCUGUGCUGCCUUUAUUUUUUCCUUCAGUUAGGAUGAUGAGAGGAAAUUAGAGUGGAUUUUGUCUGUCGCUUUAGGGUAGUAACCUCAGAAUGUCAAUCCUCUUCAUUUUUAGUCAUUCUCUCUUGUGAUUUUUUAAGAUAGAAACUGGGGAAUAAUUUCUGAAGUUGAUGCAACUGAACCAAAACCAGUGUGGUGCACACAAGUUUUAAGGAGCUAAAUGUAAAGUACUUUAGAGAUGCAUCGGAAAGUUACUUAAAAAGACUGUCUCUUAUAUUCUCUUAGAAUUAUAGUUUUGGUAGCAAAGCACAGUACUGCCUUUUAAAUGUUUGAAAAUGCUAGUAUUUUGUUUUGUUUUAAGCUAUUAAAGAGAUUAGGCUAUUUAAUUUGAAAUUAUGAAGGAAGAGUACAGUAAUUUAAUGUUUUUUCUUUUCAAUUACAUAAAAGGGUGCUGUGGGUUUUUUUAAGAUCCUAUUUAAAAUCCUAUUUUUUGUUAUUUUGUAUGAGCAGUACAUGGCAAACAGCAUGCUCUUUGUUGCUCUCCACCUUUCUGAACUGUUAAUGCAGUCAUGCAGCCAUUUAGCAGAUUGGGUCAGAAACAAGUCUGUCAGUCACUGGCAACUGGGAAAUGUCUUUGAGCCAAUAGAUCUCUUUACUUCUCUGGAGUAAAACUUCAGGGGACCCCAAAUCCCUUGUUAAUCUUUUUCAUGAGAGAUUUUGGCUCCAGUUACAAGAGAAAAGCCUUCUUGAGAAUGAAGAUUGAAAUAUUUUUUUAGAGUGGCCUCUAAAUCCCCAUUAUUCAAACUUUUUCCUGGGAAAGUCAUAGAGACAAGUUCAGCAAAUUAAACACGCACCCGUGUGACCAUCUACCUACAUAAUCAGAGCAGGAGAGACCAAUCAGAUACACAUUCAGCUGUCAGUACCCUGUCACUAUAUACAUGCUUAAAAAGCAAGCAAAAAACCCCAAACAAAUGUCCCUUGACAAGGCUCUUCAGAGACAGGGUUCUCUUGAAUCCAGAAGUCUGCUUUAAGGUACUCAGGGAAUCACUGCCCAAAGUAACCAGGAGGAAAGGUAUCCCUUUUUCAUGCUUUUACAAGGUGUAACAGGAGAGGGGACUUUAAUUAGGUGUAGGACAGUCAUCAGUAGCUGCUGUGGGAAAUGUGACUUAAAUGAUGUCAGGCCAUCAUUCACUGUGGGUCACCAUUCUUCAAUAUUCAGCUUUCCAUUUCUAGUUUUUGAUUUCCUAGACUGCAUUCCCACAUAAUCCAUUAUUUAAGAAGCACUCACACAGGCACUUCUGCCUCUUUGGGUCUCUUUGGUUUAGUAGAUUGUUGUAAAUUUGUUGUCAGUUCUGAUAGGAAUGUCCUAGAAAUAUCUGAUACUAUUUUAUGGUGGUAUACGCAGUCUCUGAAUGUCCUUUGGGCCAGACUAUUUGAACUCUGACUUUGUGGCUCUUGAAAAGAGUCUUAAGCAGACUGGGAUAUCCAUCAUAGUGAGUCUUCCCAAGAGUAUUUUUGGACAAAAAAAUUCUUUUGAAGUUAGUAUUUAUUUCCUAGAUAAAAUCUGAAGUUCUUCAGGAAUGGAUGAGUCCUAAGCUUGAGACUCAUUUCCUGAAUAGCUUGUGACCAGAAGGUUGUGCAGGGUGCUAGCAGCUAAACUGAAGAGAAGCAUCUCAUGGACAUCUCAUGGAAGUUAUUGGGAAAUAUAAUACUGAUAUUUCAUGGUCUCAAGUUAAUAGUUUAAGUUAAAGAACUUUCGAGAAAAGAAAUUACUGCUGUCUAACCUUUUGGCAGGACAGUGUCACAAUUAGCUGACAUCAAAAGUGAGAUGACAAUACUAGUUUUGGAGAAGAAUGAAUUUUAAUUUUAUUUCAUGUUUUUCACUCAGUUUGAGAGGAGUCUGUGUUAUAUGAGAUUCUCAGGAUAAUUUUAGUCCUUUAAAAUCAGUUAUAUCUAUGCAAGUACAUGAGUGGAAAAGUUCUGGCCAAAUUUGAACUGGAUUUGCUAACUGUUGAAGGAAACAUGGGAAGAAAAGAUGUUGACAGAUGAGCUCUGGUGGAUUGAGCUGAACCAGUUUUUUUACUGCUACCAAUGCUAUCUGUCAGUCUUGCCGUUCUGUUGCAGGUGGUUUUCCUCAUUGCACAUGUGGCACAAAGCUAUUUAAGCUAAAAGUGGAUGGUGAACAUGGCUUUCAGAUUAUGUGCAGGUUAGCUGCCUCUGUCCUAGAUGGGAAUGCAAGCUCUUCAUUUUAGAGCUGCAGCAGAUGGUUUUAUUUGAGCCCCUUGUCCUUUCCAAAAGAGCUGUCGUGUUAGGCUCUAACUGAAUUACAUUUUGCUGUCAGAGAAAUGGAAACCUUUUUUCAGUCUAGGUGGUAUAACUAGAAUUCUCUUUGCUCUCAAUGCAGCAUGCAGAAUCAUGAUUUCAUGCAGGUUAUUUUAGUUGAUUCCUGCUGGGAGGUAGGAUCAUGCUGAAUUUUGCCAGCUGUAGUAUUCAGGUGGACCAUUGUGUCACUUUGUGUAACAUUCAUAACUAGAAUGGUGUAGCAAUUUCUCCUAAAUACAUGCCAUUAAAACUUGUGGCAUAUUUUAAGUAACACACACAAUCACAGAAUAUUCUGAGUUGGGACUCACAAGGAUCAUAAGAGUCCCACUCUUAAGAGAAGAGCCAUAUAGGGAUCAAACCUACAACCUGAGCAUUAUUAUCAUCAUGCUCUAAUUAAACAAGCUAAUCUCAGUGGUCGUGAGGUAUAUUACCUUGCUGCAAGCAUAUGUCUUGCUUUUUUUAUUUCUAGAUAACUUCCUCAGGUAACGUUACACUGCUUAAGUGCUGUGAUCUUAAGUUUGCUUAUUCUGGAGUUUGAGAUGUCUCACUUGUCACUAAAGCAACAGAAUCCUUUGACUUACUGCUGCAGUAAAAUCCAUUCAUACCCUUGGGAUAUUGUGAGAUGAGUUUUAGUUUGAAACUCGGAUAAAAUCAGUCUGUAAUUUUAGAGAUUUCUUGAUAUUAUUGAAGCCUUUGUGAAUGCUGAAGUCUGUUGGCUAUCUUCAGGAGCUGUUGAAGCACUUCAGCUAUUUUGAUUCUCUGAGAAAACUGGAGCAUGAAGUUUCCAACCAGAGAAAGUGAUUUGGGCUGGAGAAGUGUAUUCAUUAUAGUAGCAUCAACAUUCCAUUGAUAAUGAAAAUUUGGGAAGAUUUGUUAUGUAGUAGCUUCCUAGAGUAGUGGGAAGCCAGAUGUAUGAUGAGGUGAGAAAA